rnacentral:misc_RNA from 1 species
AAAGGAAAAGAAGAAAGAUAAAGAAAAGAAACGUAAACGAGAAAGUCACAAAGAACAUCGCAACGAUCCUGAAUACAUCGAGCGCAAACGAUUGAAGAAAGAGAAGAAACAAAAAGAAAAAGAGAUGGCAAAGCUAUUGAAUGAGGAGGUGAAGCCACUGCCUCUAGCAAUGCCUCGUAUAAAAGAACCACCAACCAAGUCAACACCUGUGCAGCUGGAAACAAA